rnacentral:lncRNA from 1 species
GUUGGGGAGAGUAAAGUGAAAAGUUGAUUAGAAACUUGGAAAAGUGAGUUUUUUAUGAAAGGGUGAAAAUAUGAAAAGAAACAAGAAAAAGAAAUCACCCUUGAAACCAUAGAGCAAAGAAAAAAGAAAAGAAAGAAAAAAAAGCAAAGAAAAUGCUCAUGGUUGUGUGGAUGUAAAAAGAAAAAGAAAAAAUAGGGACCAAAGAAAGGGAAAUUGUGUAGAGUUGAAUGUUUGGGAAUGCUCCCUUAGGAUAGGCAACUUUGUAAAUUCUCUUAAUCAUAUCCUUUCUUGUAACCUAAGCCACAUUACAACCUUUGAAAGACCUCUUG